rnacentral:rRNA from 1 species
GGGGGGGGGGGGGGGGGGGGGGGGGCGUGGGGGGGGGCGGGAGUGGGGGUGGUUGGCGUAGGUGGGGGGGGGGGGCGGGUGAGUGACGGGUAAAGCACUGGCCUCACAGCUAGGGGCAACAUUUGGGAACGAAUGCGAAUACGUAAUAUUACGAUAAUAGGGCAUCCGAUAAUUAUGAAAGCUAUAAGCGCUGUGAGCGAGCUUUGCGUCCCAUGAGCUAGUUGGAGAGGUAACGGCUCACCAAGGCGAUGAUGGGUAGCCGGCCUGAGAGGGUGAUCGGCCACAAGGGGACUGAGACACGGCCCUUACUCCUACGGGAGGCAGCAGUGGGGAAUAUUGGACAAUGGACCGAGAGUCUGAUCCAGCAAUUCUGUGUGCACGAUGAAGUUUUUCGGAAUGUAAAGUGCUUUCAGUUGGGAAGAAACAAAUGACGGUACCAACAGAAGAAGUGACGGCUAAAUACGUG